CUAGCGGAGACGCUGGAGUGCCUUCGGGAACUCUGAGACAGGUGCUGCAUGGCUGUCGUCAGCUCGUGUUGUGAAAUGUUGGGUUAAGUCCCGCAACGAGCGCAACCCUUAUCCUUGUUUGCCAGCGAGUAAUGUCGGGAACUCCAGGGAGACUGCCGGUGAUAAACCGGAGGAAGGUGGGGACGACGUCAAGUCAUCAUGGCCCUUACGAGUAGGGCUACACACGUGCUACAAUGGCGCAUACAGAGGGCGGCCAACUUGCGAAAGUGAGCGAAUCCCAAAAAGUGCGUCGUAGUCCGGAUUGGAGUCUGCAACUCGACUCCAUGAAGUCGGAAUCGCUAGUAAUCGUGGAUCAGAAUGCCACGGUGAAUACGUUCCCGGGCCUUGUACACACCGCCCGUCACACCAUGGGAGUGGGCUGCAAAAGAAGUGGGUAGUUUAACCUUCGGGAGGACGCUCACCACUUUGUGGUUCAUGACUGGGGUGAAGUCGUAACAAGGUAGCGCUAGGGGAACCUGGCGCUGGAUCACCUCCUUA
rnacentral:rRNA from 1 species